CACGUAGUUAGCCGUGACUUCCUCGCCGGGUACCAUCGCUCAGAAAGCUUUCCACUCUUUCUGCCUUUUGUCCCCGGCAACAGAGCUUUACGAUCCGAAGACCUUCCUCGCUCACGCGGCAUUGCUCGUUCAGGGUUCCCCCCAUUGACGAAAAUUCCCUACUGCUGCCUCCCGCAGGAGUCUGGGCCGUGUCUCAGUCCCAGUGUGGCCGUCCGCCCUCUCAGGCCGGCUAUGCAUCGUCGCCUUGGUGAGCCGUUACCUCUCCAACCAGCUAAUGCACCGCAGGUCCAUCUGCAUGCGGGACUCUUGUCCCCUUUUACCAAAAAGAGAUGCCUCCUCUUUGCUCAUCCGGUAUCAGCUUCCGUUUCCAGUAAGUUCUCCCGCUCAUGCAGGCAGGUUCCCUAGUGUUACUCACCCGUUCGCCACUCAUACUCCGAAGAUAUCCGUUCGACUUGCAUGUAUUAGGCAGUGCCGCCAGCGUUCAUCCUGACGCU
rnacentral:rRNA from 1 species